AGCUUGUCUACUAUGAUAAGGAAUUCUAUUAAAAUCCUGCUCCCUCUUGGUUAAUUAUGAUCACAGAUGUUUGCUUGUUGGAUUAUGACAUCAUCAUGGCCCAGGUAGGGCCACCACCUGGGAGGAGCUUGUCUGGAUGUCAGGACGGCUCCCAAGGAGGUAGUCCUCCUGCUUGCCCUGGACUUGACAAAGGCCAAGGCAGAUCCUUUGCAGCUGAGCCACCAGGGAAGGCCUUGCGUGACCCUCUUUGUAUGAAAUUCUAGAAAAGACAAACCGGAUGAACUCACUGCUAAAGAACACUUCGGUGGAACAGAGAUUUACUUUUCUGAACGCCUUGGAUAACUUUGCUGCCCUGAGGAUCAGGUGGCCUCUGGGUCCCACUCAUAUAAUUGUCUUCACGCUGCUGCUUCCGAAUGGCAUCGCCUUUGUGAGAAUGAAGAGGGAAGAGCCCGCUCAAUGCACAGCAUGUGCUCAAGGUCAAGUUCUUACCUUUUUUUUUCUUUU
ensembl:lncRNA